rfam:Colletotrichum incanum strain MAFF 238704 contig845, whole genome shotgun sequence.
UCCGAUAUGGUGUAGUGGCCAACAUGAUGCCCUCUCAUCCACUUGAGAGGUUAGGCAUAGCCCCGAGUUCGAUUCUCGGUUUCGGAA